rnacentral:rRNA from 1 species
GACGAACGCUGGCGGCGUGCCUAAUACAUGCAAGUUGAGCGCUGAAGGUUGGUACUUGUACCAACUGGAUGAGCAGCGAACGGGUGAGUAACGCGUGGGGAAUCUGCCUUUGAGCGGGGGACAACAUUUGGAAACGAAUGCUAAUACCGCAUAAAAACUUUAAACACAAGUUUUAAGUUUGAAAGAUGCAAUUGCAUCACUCAAAGAUGAUCCCGCGUUGUAUUAGCUAGUUGGUGAGGUAAAGGCUCACCAAGGCGAUGAUACAUAGCCGACCUGAGAGGGUGCUCGGCCACAUUGGGACUGAGACACGGCCCAACCUCCUACGGGAGGCAGCAGUAGGGAAUCUUCGGCAAUAGACGAAAGUCUGACCGAGCAACGCCGCGUGAGUGAAGAAGGUUUUCGGAUCGUAAAACUCUGUUGGUAGAGAAGAACGUUGGUGAGAGUGGAAAGCUCAUCAAGUGACGGUAACUACCCAGAAAGGGACGGCUAACUACGUG